rnacentral:rRNA from 1 species
UAAACAAUAAUUAUUUUGAAUAAAAUCUCCCGAAAUAAAAAGAUCAAAAAAGUUAUAGGUUGUAGUCAUUGAAAUUAAAUAUGUGGCAUAAUGUGGUUGUAAUAAUUUUUUAGAGGAGAAAUUCCAACAAUUUUUAAGGUAGCUGGAUUAAAGGAAAAAGUAUUAAGUACUAAAGACAAUUAUAAAGUGAUAAGAUUUUAUAAUAUAAAUAAGGUUCUUUUAAUAGUCCUAGGGUUAAUCCUCUAAAGUUUGUUAUUAUGACAACAUUUUUUAGAUAUAUCUUUUUACACCAAACCUUUAAACUUUGAGUAAUUGGUAUGCAAAGUUUUUAAUGUUUAAAUUAGUAUUUUUUAUAAUUUUUAUUAAGGAAUUCGGCAAACAUCUUAUUCGACUGUUUACCAAAAACAUAGUCCAUUGUUUUUUAUAAUGGAUAUUGACUGCCCGGUGAGAUAUUUAACGGCCGCAGUACCUUGACUGUGCGAAGGUAGCAUAAUAAUUUGGCCUUUAAAUGGGGUCUAGAAUGAAUGGAUUUACGGAUAAUAGCUGUCUCAAAUUUUAAUUGUGGAAAAUUUAUUUAAAAGGUGCAAAUACCUUUAUAUCAAUAUAAUAGACGAGAAGACCCUUAGAAUUUAAUUUAAAAUAGGAUAAUUCUUUUUUUUUAAUUUUGUUGGGGCAACAGAGCAGCAGUGAUAAUCUGCUUUUUCUUUUAAAAAGAUUGGCCGACUAGUAGUAGGAAAAUAUAAAUUACCUUAGGGAUAACAGCAUAAUUUAGUAAAGAUUGUGACCUCGAUGUUGGAUUAGGGCCAUGUUAAUUUAGCCAAUUAAUAUUGAUAGUUCUGUUCGAACUUUAUUACCUACAUGAUCUGAGUUCA